rnacentral:sRNA from 1 species
GCAAUAGAAUAGGCUUUAUGGGCGGUCGGCUACCUCUCUACGAAGGGAGGGAUGCCUUGUGACAGUAUUUGAAGCACUCAUGCUUAUGCUUACCUUUGGUACGCUUCUCGUGGCGCUAAUAGCACUACUGUUCAACAAAAAUAAAUAGACCGCCCUCGGUCAAAGGUAGCGGUCUAUUUUCCCGUAAAUCCUCUUGAAGCCUACCGCCCUUAAAAGCGGCUGUUGCGCUGGGAGUCGUGUUACUAGCACGGCUC